CCUACGGGAGGCAGCAGUGGGGGAUAUUGCACAAUGGAGGGAACUCUGAUGCAGCGACGCCGCGUGAGGGAUGAAGGUUUUCGGAUUGUAAACCUCUGUCUUCGGUGACGAUACGAGACGGUAGCCGCGGAGGAAGCCACGGCUAAAUCCGGGCCAGCACCCGCGGUAAUACGGUGGUGGCAAGCGUUGUCCGGAAUUAAUGGGUUUAAAGGGUGCGUGGGCUGGUAGGUAAGUCAGCGGGGAAAUGCCCCCGCUCAACGGGGUGAAGUGCCAUUGAUACUGCCUUGCUGGAAUGCGGAUGCCGUGGGAGGAAUGUGUGGUGUAGCGGUGAAAUGCAUAGAUAUCACACAGAACACCAAUUGCGAAGGCAUCUCAC
rnacentral:rRNA from 1 species